GGGAAAACGAAAAUUCGAAAGAACUUCAAGCAAGAGAAGGAGGCACUCUCCGGUGAGUGAGACCUCACUUCAAUUCCCAACUGAAACUCCACCACCACCAGCCGCCAUGGAAGGCACCGUAACAAGAAUAAUCGCUGACUUGGUAGAGACCCACUGCAACCAAAGCCCUACUCCACUUCUCUCUCGCUCAACUCUCGAAGAUCUCCAAUCCCUCUUAGAUACUAAUGAUCCUCAACUCCUCGACCAGUUCUUCUUCGAUCUCUCCUCUAAAUCCAUUUCUCCUUCAGCUCUCCUCCCUCCUCUCACCACCACCAUGGACUCUGGCCCUACCCAUCUCUCCCUCAUGUCCUCCAAUGCUUACCUCUCUCUCCUCCUCUCUCCUAAUUCUCCUGUUUUCACUCUCUUCACCCCUAUGUCUUUUCUCACUCUUCUCCGCUCCCUUCGUCGUUCCUUAAAGGCCCGCCCACCGCCUCCAAUUGGGGAAUGCCAUUCCUCCGCCUCUGCUUGCGGUGGGGCCCUGGUAAAGAAGAGAAAGGGGCGUGCGUCGAAGAAUAAUAGGAGGAAUGCGUGUGAUGAUAGUGAUGAAUAUGGUAAUUAUAGCAAUGGAGAAAGAGAAAGCGAGUUUUUUGAUGUCAGAAUGUUAUUUUCUGUUCUCGAAAAAUUGGUUUUAGUCUUGGAUUUGAUUCAUCUAAAUAGAUUUCCCGAUAGUCUGAAGUCUUUGGUUCAUACUGUGGUGGAAAUUCCGGUUUUGGCUAUUGAAAUCGGAGGCAAUGUGAUAAGUUUUAACCGAUUGACGGAUUUGUGUUCGAAGAUUUUGCGCCAAGUCUUAAAAUCUGACCAUGGAGAGGAAGGGGAGACGGCGGCAGAGGUUUUGAAGUCGUUAGCGCCUUUGAUUUUGGCUGUUAAGUCGCCGGCUAGGAGCUUUGCAUUGGAUUUUGUGAAGCAUUUACUGAGGGGUAUAGCCAAAAAGAACGAGGGAGUUAAAAGAGCUCUUGUAAAUUUGCCACGCUAUCUGGCACAAAAGGCACCGGAGAAGGCGGAGCCUAGAGUGCUGGCUGUGGAGGCGACAAUUGAAAUUGUUAGUGCAAUGGAGUUAAACGAUCAAAUUGGGUUUACGGAGUAUGUUGUUAAAAUGACACAGGGGAAAGCGAAUCUCAGGCUUUUGGGGGUGGAUUUGAUUUUGAAUUUAAUGAUGUUUUUAAAAGACCCGUUUGGUGUGUACUUGGAUUGUGAAGUGAAGGAUUUGUGGGGUUUUCAUUGCUUGGAGGCGUUAAUUCAGCGUUGCUCAGACUCAAGUGCUGGAAUUAGAGCUCGUGCAUUGUCAAAUUUGUCUCAGUUGGUGGGGUUCUUGUCAAGUGAUGAUAAGAAUUGUGCGGUAUUGAAGGAAGUAUUGGGUUUGGGAGAAGGGGGCACAAAAAAAGUGGAAGGUGGGAUAAAUGAUGUUUUGAGGAAAAGAUGUAUGGAUGAGAAGGCAAAUGUUAGGAGGGCAGCACUUGUUUUAGUUACCAAGUUGACUGCUCUUAUGGAUGCUAAUUUUGAUGGUGUUGUGCUCAAGAUUAUGGGAAUGGCUUGUUCAGAUCCGCUUGUGAGCAUUCGUAAAGCUGCAAUUUCAGCCCUUUCAGAGGCGCUAAGAACAUUUUCAGACGAAAUUGUGACAAUUGAGUGGCUACAUUCUGUUCCACGGUUAAUAACUGAUAAUGAAUCCAGCAUUCAAGAAGAAUGUGAGAACUUGUUCCUGGAACUGGUUCUGGAUCGCAUCUCAAGAGCGGGAUCUGUCGAGGCAACAUACAGUGAUUCCACUUUCUCUCAUUCAAACAUUAAAGCAAAAGGUGUAGAAAGGGAAAUUGAGGCCUUAUUUCCUGAAGGUGUAUUGGUUUUUUUGAAAGAGAUCUGCAAUGGAGAGGUGAUACCUUGGGUGAGGAAAAUCUGCACAAACCUAGGUAAAAAAAAACGAUUAAAGCCCAAAUUAGCUACUGCACUACAGAAUAUCAUAAGGACUUCUGAGUCUCUUUGGUUGAGUCAUUCCAAACCAAUAGAAAAGUGGACAGCCCCGCCUGGUACUUGGUUUCUUCUAUCAGAGGUGUCAGCCUACCUUUCGAAAGCAGUUGGGUGGAAGUUUCUCCAUCAUCAUUGGCAGCUCCUUGACAAGUUUGGCCCAGCAUCUGGUUUCAACAGUUCAUCUGGUGCAGAAAAUAUGUAUGAACAUGAAGAGGGUUCUGAACCAAAUUCUGUUGCAUGGGCUGGGGAUCGGGUUUUCCUUCUGCAAACAAUCUCUAAUGUCUCAGUGGAGUUGCCACCUGAAUCUGCUGCAGACUUAGCUCAUAACUUACUUAAAAGAAUUGAAGAAUUCAACAUGCAUUCAACAGAGGUUAGCGCUCAUGUUAAGGCUCUCAAAACAUUGUGCAAAAGGAAGGCUUUGGAUCCUGAUGAGGCGGAUGCACUUGUCAUGAAAUGGGUACAGCAAGUUCUCUCUAAGGCUUCUAAAAUCUUAGAAAAGUACAUUUCAGGGGAUCUGGAAGCAAAUAACCGAAAUAGUUUCUUCACACCACCUAGAAGUGAAAGUACAAAGGGCAAGAGAGCAGCUGCUAUGUGUCAAUUGCUGUCAGAAGCAGUGACUGCAGCAUACACUAUUGGGUCUUUGGUUACUGUUUGUCCUUCAGCUGAUGUCAGCUCUAUUGUACCUAUACUACACACCAUCAUCACUUCAGGAAAUUCAGAUCCAAAAUUUAGUAAGUUACCAGGUUCUACAGUCAAUUUGAAAGAGAUAGCCCUCUCUCUGUACAUUCAGGCGUGGCUGACCAUGGGGAAGAUAUGCUUAGCAGAUGGGAAACUUGCGAAGAGAUAUAUUCCUUUGUUUGUGCAGGAGCUUGACAAGAGUGAUUGUGCAGCCCUUCGCAACAAUCUUAUAGUUACUAUGGCUGAUUUUUGUGUUCGCUAUACUGCUCUAGUUGAUUGUUAUAUAUCAAAGAUCACCAAGUGUCUCUGUGAUCCAUGUGAACUUGUGAGAAGGCAGACAUUUAUAUUGCUGUCAAGAUUGUUGCAGAGGGACUAUGUGAAGUGGAGAGGUGUUCUGUUCCUUCGAUUCCUUUUAUCUCUUGUUGAUGAGUCAGAAAAGAUAAGACAGCUUGCUGAUUUUCUCUUUGGGAAUAUUCUAAAAGUCAAAGCACCGCUUCUGGCUUAUAACAGUUUUGUGGAAGCCAUUUAUGUCCUCAACGACUGCAAUUCCCAUAAUGGACACAGUGGAUCAAAGAAUUCAAGGACAGAAAAUCGGAUUUUUUCCAUAAGGGGCAGCGAUGAAAAUUCACGGUCUAAACGAAUGCACAUUUAUGUUUCUUUGCUGAAACAAAUGGCCCCAGAGCAUCUCUUGGCAACAUUUGCAAAGUUGUGUGCUGAGAUUCUUGCAUCUGCAUCAGAUGGCAUGCUCAACAUAAAUGAUGUCGCAGGACAAUCAGUUCUGCAGGAUGCUUUUCAAAUUCUUGCCUGCAAAGAGAUCCGAAUUCCAUCUGGCCGCGGAUCACAGACUGAUGCAGGAGAGAUAGAGGAAGAAGGUGGAGAUGGUGGUGCCUCUGCAGCAGCUGCCAAAGGAAGGGCUAUUACUCAAGCAGUCAGGAAGGGUCUUAUCCAAAACACAAUCCCCAUCUUUAUAGAGCUUAAACGUUUGCUGGAAAGCAAGAACAGCCCCCUCAUAGGUUCCCUUAUGGAAUGUCUCCGGAUUCUUCUCAAGGACUACAAGAAUGAGAUUGAUGAAAUAUUGGUUGCUGAUAAGCAACUCCAGAAAGAGCUUAUUUAUGACAUGCAGAAGUAUGAAUCAACCAAGGCCAAAUUAACAGCUGCAGAGGCUGUUGCCACCAUACAAAACGCCAGUGGCUUUCUUUCUCCUGGUGCUCCAAAGACUGCAAGCAGAACAAAUGGACAGGAUAAAGUCACUGAAAAGUUGCAUAAUGAUUCAAGAGUUGCUUCAGCAAUGGCAGAUGCAGCUGCUGCAGCCAGAGCCCGGUCUGUGCUAAGAGAAGUGAACAAGGGAACACUGACACCACCACUUAGUUCUAUAAGUGUGCCAAAACUGAAGUCAAACCAAGGUGCAAGUGGUUCUCAAAGUGAUCGACCCAGCGAUGUAUUGGAAUCUUUGAGAAGGAGACAAUCUUUCAAUUCUGACGAUGAAAACUGAUGUCUUUUGAUAGCGAUUUUAGCACAUUCUUGACAAAAUUUUUGGCCUUAAACCUCCCAAAGAAAAGGUCUCUGUAGGAACAGAACUAAGUUGACAGUAUAAUUCCAGUUGUACAGUAUGCAAGCAAGUCUGCUAAUGAGCAACAAUACCUUUCUGGAGAUGCUUUCCUGCAACAAUAUUAUUAGCACGAUAUAUUCAUUUCCUUGUGUCUCUUUAAAAACUGCAUGCU
rnacentral:misc_RNA from 1 species